rnacentral:pre_miRNA from 1 species
CAAGUACUCCCUCCGUCCCAAAAUUCUUGUCUUAGAUUUGUCUAGAUACGGACAAGAAUUUUGGGACGGAGGGAGUACUUG